UACGUAGGGUGCAAGCGUUGUCCGGAAUUACUGGGCGUAAAGGGCUCGUAGGCGGCCAACUAAGUCAGACGUGAAAUCCCUCGGCUUAACCGGGGAACUGCGUCUGAUACUGGAUGGCUUGAGUUUGGGAGAGGGAUGCGGAAUUCCAGGUGUAGCGGUGUAAUGCGUAGAUAUCUGGAGGAACACCGGUGGCGAAGGCGGCAUCCUGGACCAACACUGACGCUGAGGAGCGAAAGCCAGGGGAGCAAACGGG
rnacentral:rRNA from 1 species